GGAUGCACUCGCCAGACCAGAUUGGACGCGGCUAACCAUCGGCGCCGCCGCCGCCGCCGACGCCAUCCACCACCGCAGCAAGUCGCCGGUGGAUCCCACCUCGCCGCUCUGCGGCCAAUCGAGGAGAGCGAGAAGACCCUCGCCCUCGGCCUCCUCCGCUGGCGGUGGCGCUACCCGGCUGACCACGGCCUCUCUCCAUCGACGCAUUUCGCGCACGCGAUGGGCACAAGUACGGCCGCCGACGCCUCCGCACGGCCGCUCUUGAUGUACCGCCAGCGGCAGCCUUCUCCGGAAAUGUCUCCACCGUCGGGAUCGAGCUCAUACCCUCAGGCAGCUCCGUCCACCUCUGGCCCACCCCUACCCGGACCACGGCGGACCUUCGACGCUGAUGAUUUUGGUAUUCAGACAGGGGACCAAACUGGGAUUGUCAAGUCUGUACACUGCUGAGCAAAUAGCGCGUUGCAAAGUACUUCAAACAGCUCCGACCAAGGAUUAGUCGCAUGACAAUGCUGGAUGGCGCACAAGGAGGGGCGUGCCAGCGACGGGUUCUGAUGUCUCUCAUGCUGCUUGGGGUAACUCCUGUCCGGCAGUUGCAGCUGACUUCCUGUCAGAAACUUCGCCCAUUGCUGUUGACCAGCACGUAGGUUCCGACAGGGACUGGAUCGUCGUGCAGCAAAAGCCAUUUACAUCCUUACAUAGCAACUGGAGCGACUCGAGGAAUGGCAGAGCUCCCUCUUGGACUUCCAGUUCAGUCAUGACUUCAACCACGAUGCAUAGUCCUCGCAGGCUUCCAAGUGCACCUUUUAUGAUGGCGAGUUUGUCCAGUUGAGAUGCAAUCAGCUUCAGGUACGCCAAGCUGCGCACUCUGCUCAGGGCAGUAAGAAU